rnacentral:rRNA from 1 species
ACCUACCUCAUACUCGGGGAUAGCCUUUCGAAAGAAAGAUUAAUAUCCGAUAGCAUAUAUUUCCCGCAUGGGUUUUAUAUUAAAGAAAUUCGGUAUGAGAUGGGGAUGCGUUCCAUUAGUUUGUUGGGGGGGUAACGGCCCACCAAGACUACGAUGGAUAGGGGUUCUGAGAGGAAGGUCCCCCACAUUGGAACUGAGACACGAUCCAAACUCCUACGGGAGGCAGCAGUGAGGAAUAUUGGUCAAUGGACGAGAGUCUGAACCAGCCAAGUAGCGUGAAGGAUGAAGGUCUUACGGAUUGUAAACUUCUUUUAUAAGGGAAUAAAACCUCCCACGUGUGGGAGCUUGUAUGUACCUUAUGAAUAAGCAUCGGCUAACUCCGUGCCAGCAGCCGCGGUAAUACGGAGGAUGCGAGCGUUAUCCGGAUUUAUUGGGUUUAAAGGGAGCGCAGACGGGUCGUUAAGUCAGCUGUGAAAGUUUGGGGCUCAACCUUAAAAUUGCAGUUGAUACUGGCGUCCUUGAGUGCGGUUGAGGUGUGCGGAAUUCGUGGUGUAGCGGUGAAAUGCUUAGAUAUCACGAAGAACUCCGAUUGCGAA